rnacentral:rRNA from 1 species
ACCUGGUUGAUCCUGCCAGUAGUCAUAUGCUUGUCUAAAAGAUUAAGCCAUGCAAGUGCGAGUGAUUCGGUGCAUCCAUCAGUAAAAUGAGGGAAGGCGCUCAGGAUGACUGCGAAAGGCUCAUUAAAACAGUUAUCGGAUCUGGAUGGUCAGAAGAAGACAAGAAGAAUAAGGGUGUGAAAAUAGAGCUAAAACGAGGGAGGGGGAUCUCGAACAAAGAGGAUUUUAAACGAUUCUCGCAUGAAGAAGGGAUUUCUAGAAUUUCAUAGAGAUAUGAGAGGGAGCAUGUGAAUAUUUGACCUAUCAACUGGGGAUGGUAGUAUAGGGGACUACGAUGGUGGUGACGGGUGACGGAGGAUCAGGGUUUGAAACCGGAGAGGGGGCCUGAGAGAUGGCCACCACUUCUAAGGAAGGCAGCAGGCGCGAAAAUUACCCAAUGUUGGAACAGUGAGGUAGUGACAAGGAAUAACUGUGAAGCAGCAAUUUAUGUUGUUUGAUGGUAAUGGAAGGAGGAUAGAGAGGUUCUUGAGUAACGAUCAGAGGGAAAGUCUGGUGCCAGCAGCCGCGGUAAUUCCAGCUCUGAAAGCGUAUACUAGAGUUGUUGCGGUUAAAAAGCUCGUAGUUGGGAGAAGGAGACAUUGAGAAAAAUAGAGUGUUUAAGGGUGAAGUGGGAGAGCACAGGACGUCCUAUCUUCUUCUUUCUCUUGAAAGAGAGAGAGAGGGAGGGGGAGAGAAUAGAAACAAUAGAGGAUAUUAGUAUUUUAUAGUUAGAGGUGAAAUUCUAUGAUUUAUGAAAGACUAACAGGGGCGAAAGCAUUUAUCUCUUGUAUGUUUAUUGAUAAAGAACGAAAGUUAGGGGAUCGAAGAUGAUUAGAUACCGUCGUAGUCCUAGACUAUAAACAAUACUAACUAUGGAUUUGGGGGGCCAAAAGUGAUAAAACAUCACUUAAAGGGCGCGUGAGGACAUUGCGAGAAAUCAUUGAGUAUUUGAGUUCCGGGGGGAGUAUGGUUGCAAGACUGAAACUUAAAGGAAUUGACGGAGGGGCACCACAAGGCGUGGAGCUUGCGGCUUAAUUUGACUCAACACGGAGAAACUUACCAGACCAAGACAUCAUUGAGGAUUGACAGACGAGGAGGUUUUUCGAGAUAGGAUGGGAGGUGGUGCAUGGCCGUUCUUAGUUGGUGGAGUGAUUUGUCAGGUUAAUUCCGAUAACGAACGAGAUUUUAGUGGAAGAGACGAAGAAUGCAUUUUAACGGAUGGAUUCUUUGGUUAUUUCAGAUGGAUAGGAAAAUAAACUAUAGGAAGAUUAAAGUGGUAACAGGUCUGUGAUGCCCUUAGAUGGUUUGGGCUGCACGCGUGCUACAAUGAUAGAGACAGAGAUCCACUGAGAGACAAUUUAUGGUCUUUUAGAUUGACGCAUCGAAGGAUGGGUUGAAAGGAUGGAGAAUCUAUCAUGUUAGGGGAUUAACGAUUGGAAUUAUUCGUUAUGAACACGGAAUGCCUAGUAAGUAUAAGUCAACAGGUUAUAUUGAUUAGGUCCCUGCCUCUUGUACACACCGCCCGUCGCUGCUACCGAUUGAAUAGUAAAUGUGAAAUGGGAGGACUGGCCUUGGCCUCAUCGAAAGAAAAGGAUCGAGGAAAGGAAAACUAUUGAAUGUUUAUAUUUAGAGGAAGCAAAAGUCGUAACAAGGCUUCCGUAGGUGAACCUGCGGAAG